rnacentral:rRNA from 1 species
AAGGGUGAGUAAGGCGACGGUAACCAACCCCGAGAUUGGGUAUAGCCGCGGGAAACUGCGGGUAAUCCCCAGCGACGCGUCGAGCCGGCAUCGGCUUGACGUCAAAGCUCCGGCGUCUUGGGACGGGCUGUCGUGGUAUUAGGUAGUUGGCGGGGUAACGGCCCACCAAGCCUUCGAUGCCUACCGGGCGUGCGAGCGUGGCCCGGCACACUGGGACUGAGACACUGCCCAGACACCUACGGGUGGCUGCAGUCGAGAAUCUUCGGCAAUGGGCGCAAGCCUGACCGAGCGACGCCGCGUGGAGGAUGAAGGCCUUCGGGUUGUAAACUCCUGUCGAGGGGGAGGAAGGGGCAACCUUGACCUGUCCCUGGAGGAAGCACGGGCUAAGUUCGUGCCAGCAGCCGCGGUAAGACGAACCGUGCGAACGUUAUUCGGAAUCAUUGGGCUUAAAGCGCGUGUAGGCGGAUGGGAACGUCGGUGUUGAAAGCCCCCGGCUCAACCGGGGAAUUGGCGCCGAAACGACCCGUCUCGAGGGGCAUAGGGGGACCUGGAACUUCCGGU